rnacentral:rRNA from 1 species
GAACAUUGAGCCUUGAUGUGUAGGAUAGGUGGGAGGCUUUGAAGCGUGGACGCCAGUCUGCGUGGAGCCGACCUUGAAAUACCACCCUUUAAUGUUUGAUGUUCUAACGUGGACCCGUAAUCCGGGUUGCGGACAGUGUCUGGUGGGUAGUUUGACUGGGGCGGUCUCCUCCUAAAGAGUAACGGAGGAGCACGAAGGUUGGCUAAUCCUGGUCGGACAUCAGGAGGUUAGUGCAAUGGCAUAAGCCAGCUUGACUGCGAGCGUGACGGCGCGAGCAGGUGCGAAAGCAGGUCAUAGUGAUCCGGUGGUUCUGAAUGGAAGGGCCAUCGCUCAACGGAUAAAAGGUACUCCGGGGAUAACAGGCUGAUACCGCCCAAGAGUUCAUAUCGACGGCGGUGUUUGGCACCUCGAUGUCGGCUCAUCACAUCCUGGGGCUGAAGUAGGUCCCAAGGGUAUGGCUGUUCGCCAUUUAAAGUGGUACGCGAGCUGGGUUUAGAACGUCGUGAGACAGUUCGGUCCCUAUCUGCCGUGGGCGCUGGAGAACUGAGGGGGGCUGCUCCUAGUACGAGAGGACCGGAGUGGACGCAUCACUGGUGUUCGGGUUGUCAUGCCAAUGGCACUGCCCGGUAGCUAAAUGCGGAAGAGAUAAGUGCUGAAAGCAUCUAAGCACGAAACUUGCCCCGAGAUGAGUUCUCCCUGAGACUUAGAGUCUCCUGAAGGAACGUUGAAGACGACGACGUUGAUAGGCCGGGUGUGUAAGCGCAGCGAUGCGUUGAGCUAACCGGUACUAAUGAACCGUGAGGCUUAACCUUAC